UACGUAGGGUGCGAGCGUUAAUCGGAAUUACUGGGCGUAAAGCGUGCGCAGGCGGUUCGUGAUGUCUGAUGUGAAAGCCCCGGGCUCAACCUGGGAACUGCAUUGGAAACUAGCGGGCUGGAGUGUGGCAGAGGGGGGUGGAAUUCCACGUGUAGCAGUGAAAUGCGUAGAUAUCCGGAGGAACACCGGUGGCGAAGGCGGCUUCCUGGACCGACACUGACGCUGAGGCGCGAAAGCUAGGGGAGCAAACGGG
rnacentral:rRNA from 1 species